UAAAAGCUCACCAAGGCGACGAUCUGUAGCUGGUCUGAGAGGACGACCAGCCACACUGGGACUGAGACACGGCCCAGACUCCUACGGGAGGCAGCAGUGGGGAAUUUUGGACAAUGGGCGAAAGCCUGAUCCAGCAAUGCCGCGUGUGUGAAGAAGGCCUUCGGGUUGUAAAGCACUUUUGUCCGGAAAGAAAUCCUCUGGGUUAAUACCUCGGGGGGAUGACGGUACCGGAAGAAUAAGCACCGGCUAACUACGUGCCAGCAGCCGCGGUAAUACGUAGGGUGCAAGCGUUAAUCGGAAUUACUGGGCGUAAAGCGUGCGCAGGCGGUUUUGUAAGACGGAUGUGAAACCCCGGGCUUAACCUGGGAACUGCAUUCGUGACUGCAAGGCUAGAGUAUGGCAGAGGGGGGUAGAAUUCCACGUGUAGCAGUGAAAUGCGUAGAGAUGUGGAGGAAUACCGAUGGCGAAGGCAGCCCCCUGGGCCAAUACUGACGCUCAUGCACGAAAGCGGUGGGGAGCAAACAGGGAUUAGAUAGCCUGGUAGUCCACGCCCUAAACGGAUGUCAAACUAGUUGGUUGGGGAUUUCAUUUCCUUAGGUACGUAGCUAACGCGUGAAGUUGACCGCCUGGGGAGUACGGUCGCAAGAUUAAAACUCAAAGGAAUUGACGGGGACGCACAAGCGGUGGAUGAUGUGGAUUAAUUCGAUGCAACGCGAAAAACCUUACCUACCCUUGACAUGUACGGAUCCUGCUGAGAGGUGGGAGUGCUCGAAAGAGAACCGUAACACAGGUGCUGCAUGGCUGUCGGUCAGCUCGUGUCGUGAGAUGUUGGGUUAGUCCCGCAACGAGCGCAACCCUUGUCCUUAGUUGCUACGCAAGAGCACUCUAAGGAGACUGCCGGUGACAAACCGGAGGAAGGUGGGGAUGACGUCAAGUCCUCAUGGCCCUUAUGGGUAGGGCUUCACACGUCAUUACAAUGGUCGGUACAGGAGGGCUGCCAAACCGCGAGGUGGAGCUAACCCCAGAAAACCGAUCGUAGUCCGGAUCGCAGUCUGCAACUCGACUGCGUGAAGCUGGAAUCGCUAGUAAUCGCGGAUCAGCAUGUCGCGGUGAAUACGUUCCCGGGUCUUGUACACACCGCCCGUCACACCAUGGGAGUGGGUUUUGCCAGAAGUAGGUAGCCUAACCGCAAGGAGGGCGCUUACCACGGCAGGAUUCAUGACUGGGGUGAAGUCGUAACAAGGUAGCCGUAGGGGAACCUGCGGCUGGAUCACCUCCUUUCUAGAGCAUGCACUGGAAGUUGAGUGUUCACGCUUAUCGGUUGUUGA
rnacentral:rRNA from 1 species